UGAGGAAUAUUGGUCAAUGGGCGAGAGCCUGAUGCAGCGACGCCGCGUGAGCGAAGAAGGUUUUCGAAUCGUAAAGCUCUGUCCUAUGAGAAGAUAAUGACGGUAUCAUAGGAGGAAGCCCCGGCUAAAUACGUGCCAGCAGCCGCGGUAAUACGUAUGGGGCGAGCGUUGUCCGGAAUUAUUGGGCGUAAAGGGUACGUAGGCGGUCUAUUAAGUCAGGUGUGAAAGCGUGAGGCUUAACCUCAUUAAGCACUUGAAACUGAUAGACUUGAGUGAAGGAGAGGAAAGUGGAAUUCCUAGUGUAGCGGUGAAAUGCGUAGAUAUUAGGAGGAAUACCGGUGGCGAAGGCGACUUUCUGGACUUUUACUGACGCUCAGGUACGAAAGCGUGGGGAGCAAACAGG
rnacentral:rRNA from 1 species